AAAAUUGCCGAGGUUGGAGUCGAUCGGAGCUCGUGAAUGGGAAUUAGGAUUCUCAGCCAUUAGCACGUUUUGGAAAGGGGAAAACCGCUUGUACGGAGUCAAAAUAUCCGCAAAUUGUGUGGGAAAAUUGUACAAAGGAGCCAGCACAAGUAUGCAUCAAAUGUUGUAGAGAAAUGUUUAGAGUUUGGCGAUGCUGCUGAACGGGAGUUCUUGAUUGAUGAGAUCCUUCUGCAGUUUGAAGACAAUGACAAUUUACUGGUGAUGAUGAAGGACCAGUUUGCAAAUUACGUAGUCCAGAAGAUUUUUGAAAUUAGUAACGAUACACAGAGAGAAACAUUGCUUCAUCGAAUUCGGCUUCAUCUCAUUGCUUUCUGUCUUUUUUCAGUUUUCAAUUUUCAAUGAUGAUAAUGGAAGUACCUCAGAGCCGUAGGGUUUGCUUUGAGUGUCGGAGAAUUAUUUUACGAGAUUCUCUGCUCUUAUCUGACAUUGAAAGUGGAUAGCUGAGAUAAGCUCAUAAUACUCCAACCUCCGGUCGACAAGUGCUAGGCAGUGCUUUUAGAAGUGAGGUUGAAAUUACAAUGUCGGUAUACUGAUGUGGUUUGGUGCUCGGCUGAUGAGUUCUUCAUUCCGCCUCCGACAACCCUCUCCCUCUGCCUCCCGUCCAAACCUGGGAAACUUGGUUUUGCAGAAGUUUCAGUCAAGAUUCAUCACUAUGCUUGUGAUCUAUAACUGCUCAAAACUCAACUAUAUCGGAAAAAUU